rnacentral:rRNA from 1 species
UACGGAAGGCAGCAGUGGGGAAUAUUGCACAAUGGGCGCAAGCCUGAUGCAGCCAUGCCGCGUGUAUGAAGAAGGCCUUCGGGUUGUAAAGUACUUUCAGUUGUGAGGAAGGUGUUAAGGUUAAUAACCUUAGCAAUUGACGUUAGCGACAGAAGAAGCACCGGCUAACUCCGUGCCAGCAGCCGCGGUAAUACGGAGGGUGCGAGCGUUAAUCGGAAUUACUGGGCGUAAAGGGCACGCAGGCGGUUAAUUAAGUUGGAUGUGAAAUCCCCGGGCUUAACCUGGGAAUGGCAUUCAAGACUGGUUAGCUAGAGUCUUGUAGAGGGGGUAGAAUUCCAUGUGUAGCGGUGAAAUGCGUAGAGAUGUGGAGGAAUACCGGUGGCGAAGGCGGCCCCUGGGACAAAGACUGACGCUCAUGUGCGAAAGCGUGGGGAGCAAACAGGGAUUAGAUACC